rnacentral:rRNA from 1 species
AGAGUUUGAUCCUGGCUCAGGAUGAACGCUAGCUACAGGCUUAACACAUGCAAGUCGAGGGGCAGCAUCAUCAAAGCUUGCUUUGAUGGAUGGCGACCGGCGCACGGGUGAGUAACACGUAUCCAACCUGCCGACAACACUGGGAUAGCCUUUCGAAAGAAAGAUUAAUACCGGAUGGCAUAGUUUUCCCGCAUGGGAUGAUUAUUAAAGAAUUUCGGUUGUCGAUGGGGAUGCGUUCCAUUAGGUUGUUGGUGAGGUAACGGCUCACCAAGCCUUCGAUGGAUAGGGGUUCUGAGAGGAAGGUCCCCCACAUUGGAACUGAGACACGGUCCAAACUCCUACGGGAGGCAGCAGUGAGGAAUAUUGGUCAAUGGGCGAGAGCCUGAACCAGCCAAGUAGCGUGAAGGAUGACUGCCCUAUGGGUUGUAAACUUCUUUUAUACGGGAAUAAAGUGAGCCACGUGUGGCUUUUUGUAUGUACCGUAUGAAUAAGGAUCGGCUAACUCCGUGCCAGCAGCCGCGGUAAUACGGAGGAUCCGAGCGUUAUCCGGAUUUAUUGGGUUUAAAGGGAGCGUAGAUGGAUGUUUAAGUCAGUUGUGAAAGUUUGCGGCUCAACCGUAAAAUUGCAGUUGAUACUGGCGACCUUGAGUGCAACAGAGGUAGGCGGAAUUCGUGGUGUAGCGGUGAAAUGCUUAGAUAUCACGAAGAACUCCGAUUGCGAAGGCAGCCUGCUGGACUGUAACUGACGCUGAGGCUCGAAAGUGUGGGUAGCAAACAGGAUUAGAUACCCUGGUAGUCCACACCGUAAACGAUGAUUACUAGGUGUUGGAGGAUUGACCCCUUCAGUGCCGCAGUUAACACAAUAAGUAAUCCACCUGGGGAGUACGACCGCAAGGUUGAAACUCAAAGGAAUUGACGGGGGCCCGCAC